GCGGGAGUGGCGAAAUUGGUAGACGCACCAUCUUGAGGGGGUGGCGCUCUUAGGGGCGUGGCAGUUCGAAUCUGCUCUUCCGCACAA
rnacentral:tRNA from 1 species